AGCAGCCGCGGUAAUUCCAGCUCCAAUAGCGUAUAUUAAAGUUGUUGCAGUUAAAAAGCUCGUAGUUGAAUUUCGGGAUCAAUUAAUUGGUCGUGCCUCCGGUACGUACUGAUUUUAUUGGUUUCUCCCUUCUGACGAACCAUGAUGUCAUUAAUUUGGUGUCGUGGAGAAUCAGGACUGUUACUUUGAAAAAUUAGAGUGUUUAAAGCAAGCUAACGCUUGAAUACAUUAGCAUGGAAUAAUGAAAUAGGACGUUUGAUCCUAUUUUGUUGGUUUCUAGGAUCGACGUAAUGAUUAAUAGGGAUAGUUGGGGGCAUUAGUAUUCAAUUGUCAGAGGUGAAAUUCUUGGAUUUAUUGAAGACUAACUACUGCGAAAGCAUUUGCCAAGGAUGUUUUCAUUAAUCAAGAACGAAAGUUAGGGGGAUCGAAGACGAUCAGAUACCGUCGUAGUCUUAACCAUAAACUAUGCCGACUAGGGAUCGGAUGAUGUUAAUUUUUUAAUGACUCAUUCGGCGCCUUA
rnacentral:misc_RNA from 1 species